rnacentral:rRNA from 1 species
GGUUAAGCGACUAAGCGUACACGGUGGAUGCCCUGGCAGUCAGAGGCGAUGAAGGACGUGCUAAUCUGCGAUAAGCGUCGGUAAGGUGAUAUGAACCGUUAUAACCGGCGAUUUCCGAAUGGGGAAACCCAGUGUGUUUCGACACACUAUCAUUAACUGAAUCCAUAGGUUAAUGAGGCGAACCGGGGGAACUGAAACAUCUAAGUACCCCGAGGAAAAGAAAUCAACCGAGAUUCCCCCAGUAGCGGCGAGCGAACGGGGAGCAGCCCAGAGCCUGAAUCAGUGUGUGUGUUAGUGGAAGCGUCUGGAAAGGCGCGCGAUACAGGGUGACAGCCCCGUACACAAAAAUGCACAUACUGUGAGCUCGAUGAGUAGGGCGGGACACGUGGUAUCCUGUCUGAAUAUGGGGGGACCAUCCUCCAAGGCUAAAUACUCCUGACUGACCGAUAGUGAACCAGUACCGUGAGGGAAAGGCGAAAAGAACCCCGGCGAGGGGAGUGAAAAAGAACCUGAAACCGUGUACGUACAAGCAGUGGGAGCCUCUUUUAUGGGGUGACUGCGUACCUUUUGUAUAAUGGGUCAGCGACUUAUAUUCUGUAGCAAGGUUAACCGAAUAGGGGAGCCGAAGGGAAACCGAGUCUUAACUGGGCGUUAAGUUGCAGGGUAUAGACCCGAAACCCGGUGAUCUAGCCAUGGGCAGGUUGAAGGUUGGGUAACACUAACUGGAGGACCGAACCGACUAAUGUUGAAAAAUUAGCGGAUGACUUGUGGCUGGGGGUGAAAGGCCAAUCAAACCGGGAGAUAGCUGGUUCUCCCCGAAAGCUAUUUAGGUAGCGCCUCGUGAAUUCAUCUCCGGGGGUAGAGCACUGUUUCGGCAAGGGGGUCAUCCCGACUUACCAACCCGAUGCAAACUGCGAAUACCGGAGAAUGUUAUCACGGGAGACACACGGCGGGUGCUAACGUCCGUCGUGAAGAGGGAAACAACCCAGACCGCCAGCUAAGGUCCCAAAGUCAUGGUUAAGUGGGAAACGAUGUGGGAAGGCCCAGACAGCCAGGAUGUUGGCUUAGAAGCAGCCAUCAUUUAAAGAAAGCGUAAUAGCUCACUGGUCGAGUCGGCCUGCGCGGAAGAUGUAACGGGGCUAAACCAUGCACCGAAGCUGCGGCAGCGACACUAUGUGUUGUUGGGUAGGGGAGCGUUCUGUAAGCCUGUGAAGGUGUGCUGUGAGGUAUGCUGGAGGUAUCAGAAGUGCGAAUGCUGACAUAAGUAACGAUAAAGCGGGUGAAAAGCCCGCUCGCCGGAAGACCAAGGGUUCCUGUCCAACGUUAAUCGGGGCAGGGUGAGUCGACCCCUAAGGCGAGGCCGAAAGGCGUAGUCGAUGGGAAACAGGUUAAUAUUCCUGUACUUGGUGUUACUGCGAAGGGGGGACGGAGAAGGCUAUGUUGGCCGGGCGACGGUUGUCCCGGUUUAAGCGUGUAGGCUGGUUUUCCAGGCAAAUCCGGAAAAUCAAGGCUGAGGCGUGAUGACGAGGCACUACGGUGCUGAAGCAACAAAUGCCCUGCUUCCAGGAAAAGCCUCUAAGCAUCAGGUAACAUCAAAUCGUACCCCAAACCGACACAGGUGGUCAGGUAGAGAAUACCAAGGCGCUUGAGAGAACUCGGGUGAAGGAACUAGGCAAAAUGGUGCCGUAACUUCGGGAGAAGGCACGCUGAUAUGUAGGUGAAGUCCCUUGCGGAUGGAGCUGAAAUCAGUCGAAGAUACCAGCUGGCUGCAACUGUUUAUUAAAAACACAGCACUGUGCAAACACGAAAGUGGACGUAUACGGUGUGACGCCUGCCCGGUGCCGGAAGGUUAAUUGAUGGGGUUAGCGGUAACGCGAAGCUCUUGAUCGAAGCCCCGGUAAACGGCGGCCGUAACUAUAACGGUCCUAAGGUAGCGAAAUUCCUUGUCGGGUAAGUUCCGACCUGCACGAAUGGCGUAAUGAUGGCCAGGCUGUCUCCACCCGAGACUCAGUGAAAUUGAACUCGCUGUGAAGAUGCAGUGUACCCGCGGCAAGACGGAAAGACCCCGUGAACCUUUACUAUAGCUUGACACUGAACAUUGAGCCUUGAUGUGUAGGAUAGGUGGGAGGCUUUGAAGUGUGGACGCCAGUCUGCAUGGAGCCGACCUUGAAAUACCACCCUUUAAUGUUUGAUGUUCUAACGUUGGCCCCUGAUCGGGGUUGCGGACAGUGUCUGGUGGGUAGUUUGACUGGGGCGGUCUCCUCCUAAAGAGUAACGGAGGAGCACGAAGGUUGGCUAAUCCUGGUCGGACAUCAGGAGGUUAGUGCAAUGGCAUAAGCCAGCUUGACUGCGAGCGUGACGGCGCGAGCAGGUGCGAAAGCAGGUCAUAGUGAUCCGGUGGUUCUGAAUGGAAGGGCCAUCGCUCAACGGAUAAAAGGUACUCCGGGGAUAACAGGCUGAUACCGCCCAAGAGUUCAUAUCGACGGCGGUGUUUGGCACCUCGAUGUCGGCUCAUCACAUCCUGGGGCUGAAGUAGGUCCCAAGGGUAUGGCUGUUCGCCAUUUAAAGUGGUACGCGAGCUGGGUUUAGAACGUCGUGAGACAGUUCGGUCCCUAUCUGCCGUGGGCGCUGGAGAACUGAGGGGGGCUGCUCCUAGUACGAGAGGACCGGAGUGGACGCAUCACUGGUGUUCGGGUUGUCAUGCCAAUGGCACUGCCCGGUAGCUAAAUGCGGAAGAGAUAAGUGCUGAAAGCAUCUAAGCACGAAACUUGCCCCGAGAUGAGUUCUCCCUGACUCCUUGAGAGUCCUGAAGGAACGUUGAAGACGACGACGUUGAUAGGCCGGGUGUGUAAGCGCAGCGAUGCGUUGAGCUAACCGGUACUAAUGAACCGUGAGGCUUAACCUU